AUGAAAACAAAUCAUCAGAUGUCUUAUUGGUCUUCCUGCGAUUUCUGGACACACCGGGACUGAUAGAACAGGAUUUCAGACUUUCGUUUGGUGAGACAACGGCCAACAAAUCCUUGGAGAGGUGGCCAACCACUUUCAAAGCAAAAGUAAUAAAGGAGAGCCAUGGACUUGUACCCACCACAGAACUCUUGGACUUGAUGCACAAUGCUGAGUCAGCUGCUCAAGUUGAGAAUGGCUGGGACAGUGACAUGUCUGCCAUCUUGCUGCUGCUACAUCUGCUACCACCAUCUGCACAAGGUCGAAAGAGGUCGGGAAAGAUGUCUGCAUCUCAAGCUAUAGAUCAGCUCAUCAGAUUUCAAAAGGUUGGAACCAGUGUGCAUCAGCAUCUAGACAACAUCACCCAAAGUACUCAGCCCUACCUUCUCGCCCAGGGAUCCACACAAAGCAGCAUUCACCCCUACUUCAUUGAGAUUGACAAGCAUGCGCUUCCAUGCAAGGCAACAGGUUCAGUGGGAGCUUUUGACGAACUCUUUAAAGUCCAUUACGUCUUUGGUAUGUUGUACAGUUUUUCCUUGAGCAGCUUUUUCACUUUUGUGCAAACAACUAUAACAUCGAUCUGGGGGAAACAAAGGAGACUCCAAGAGUUGCGAGAAAGAAUUGUGCAUUAGUUGAGAUGUGUUUUCUUUGCAAGUACAAAAAACUCUUUGCGAAAGUGAUAAAGGAAGUCCUUGUCUUUUCUUUGGUAAGCAUUUAUUUUUAAAUGUUAUAUUAUUUUUGUAAUAUAAUAAUAUUUUGUAACAAUAAAUGCUGGUGCUGUCAUUUUGUGUUAUUGUUUUUCUCUUUUCAUUAGUUCCAUUAUUGUAAUUCAGUAACACUGCAUCAGAAGAUUUACA